GAAGAAGCACCUGGGGAAGUGCUCAACACAGGGGGCAGCAGGGGGCAUAUCGAACCCCAGCUCGGUUGUUGUUGUUACCGUCAGGGAUAAAAGGAGACUAGGACAUUCGUUUAAUCACUGAUGGUGUGGCUUGGCUGAAGACUACCAACUCUUUCGAUGGCUGCUAUUGUAAGUAACUCAUAAAGAGUUUUUUAUUUGUAUUUAUUCCUGUUAAAAAAUGCAUCCCUGGCUUUACAGAGAGCGAGAGUGUCGGUUCAGUGGACGUGUACUUUACUAGUGAUCUCUCUGAUUGUGGAGUCACACCACACGCAACAGGUUAAACUAAAUCCACAUCACUGGGGGCCCCAGUCUAUGAUGUACCUGAAGGGAAAAUAUGGCAGAAGAUAUUUACCUGACGCUCAAAGCACUGUCAAAUUAGGUUUAAAUGGCUGGUUUACAGCAAUCAAAGGUUUCCAGAGGUUGAGAUCAGUGGAAUUCAGAAACCCCAGGAUAUUUCUGACAGGACCAGAAACUGCACCUCUUGGUUAAAAGAUGAUUCAUGUGGAGCUAAUCUGAAACAGUUAUUGUAAAGUAACAGAGAGAGAGAGAAACCAAGA